rnacentral:rRNA from 1 species
CUGUAGUGUUACUGACGCUAAAGCUCGAAAGUGCGGGUAUCGAACAGGAUUAGAUACCCUGGUAGUCCGCACGGUAAACGAUGGAUGCCCGCUGUUUGCCCUUCGGGGUGAGUGGCUAAGCGAAAGCGUUAAGCAUCCCACCUGGGGAGUACGCCGGCAACGGUGAAACUCAAAGGAAUUGACGGGGGCCCGCACAAGCGGAGGAACAUGUGGUUUAAUUCGAUGAUACGCGAGGAACCUUACCCGGGCUUGAAUUGCAGAUGACGGAUCUAGAGAUAGUGACUUCCUUCGGGACAUCUGUGAAGGUGCUGCAUGGUUGUCGUCAGCUCGUGCCGUGAGGUGUCGGCUUAAGUGCCAUAACGAGCGCAACCCUUCUCUUCAGUUGCCAUCAGGUAGAGCUGGGCACUCUGGAGACACUGCCACCGUAAGGUGUGAGGAAGGUGGGGAUGACGUCAAAUCAGCACGGCCCUUACGUCCGGGGCUACACACGUUUUACAAUGGCCGGUACAGAAAGUCGGAUGCCCGUAAGGUCAUUCUAAUCAAGAAAGCCGGUCCCAGUUAAGACUGAGGUCUGCAACCCGACCUCACGAAGCGGAUCGCU